rnacentral:lncRNA from 1 species
UUUUUUUUUCAGGUUGGCAUUCUUCAAGCCGCAAGGAAUGGAAAUGCGCCCACUUCUUAUGAAAUGAAGGCACCACUGAGGUUGGCCAUUUCACAUGCUCAGACAUGUACCCUGCCAGCUGCCAUUGAACUGGCUAUCAGGGAGCUUUCCAGUGAGCUGGAAUUUCAAACGCUAUGGUCUGAUGCAGAAGCAGAUCUUGAACUAGCGUCAGUAGCUUUUCUGGCUGGGUACAUUGUACGAGCUUGUGAAGAAAAGGUGCCAGGCGAAUUGUGCAAGACCCUACUGGAAGCACUAGAACCAACCGGGCCACUCUACGGACUGAUAGCAAAUAUAGACAAUGGAGGCUUGACAUACCCUAAAAUGGAAGUUGUUAAGCGUUGCCA